rnacentral:rRNA from 1 species
UACGUAGGGUCCGAGCGUUGUCCGGAAUUAUUGGGCGUAAAGAGCUCGUAGGCGGUCUGUCGCGUCGGCUGUGAAAACACGGGGCUCAACUCCGUGCCUGCAGUCGAUACGGGCAGACUAGAGUUCGGUAGGGGAGACUGGAAUUCCUGGUGUAGCGGUGAAAUGCGCAGAUAUCAGGAGGAACACCGGUGGCGAAGGCGGGAUCCUGGCCAGUACGUCGAACGGCUGA